GCCUGACGAGCGGUGCGGUAGUGUUUCAUUCUAUCCGGCACGAUCUUUUUCUCUCCGAUCAAUCUUUGGAUUCCAUUGGGUGGAUUUUUAUUUUUCCGAUACUUCAAAAGUUGUGAGAUUUCUAUUUUCCUGAGACCGAGGCAAGAUCCACAGUCCUGCAUGCCCACUAAAAUCAGCUUGGUUCACGGAUUCAUGCUUCUUUCUUGAUUUCAUUGCUCUGUUUGUGUUAAAAACAACAUAUUGUAUGAUCUUUAUGCUCGGACCCUUCAGAUAACAACAUUGAUUAACCUUUGAGUCUCAGCUAUUUGGGAUCUAUUUUUGGUUGAUACACAGGUUAUAAUCACAACAUUAAUAUAAAAUCUUAAAUUCUGUCCCAACAAGGGCUUGUGUUCAUAAUAAUGAUAUUCAUUUGUUUAUCCUAAUAAGAUUUUAGGCAUUGUUGCUUUGACUUAGCCGUUCAUUGACACCAGUAAGCAAGAUUUGUGUAAUGCCACUAGUUGAUGAACAAUUACUCAAAGCUAUGGAGUAAUCUCCACAUGAAAGCUCUGUCAUAGUUACUCUGAUAGUGUCUUAUUCCUUCUGCUCUGUUGCUCAGGAAAUAUAUCUGGAAUUUUAGCUUUUGUUUUGUUCAUACUUCCUUUUAGGUCAUCUAUUCAUACUCCUUCAGAUAACAACAAUGAGUAACCCCUGAGUCUCAAUUAUUUGGAAUAUAUUUUUGCUUGCUAUAUAAUCACUGCAUUAAUAUAAAAUCAUAAAUUUUGUCUCAACAAGAGGUUGUACUCAUAAUAGUAAUAUUCAUUUAUUUUUUCUAGGCAUUGUUGAUUUGGUUUAGCCUUUCAUUGUCACUUGGAACCUGAGAUUGCACAGUAGGCAAGAUUUGUGUGAUGACACUAAUUGAUGAAUAAUUACUCAAAGCUAUGGAUCAAUCUCCACAUGAAAGCUCUUUGUCAUAGUUACUCUGAUAGUGUCUUGUCUCUUCUGCUCUGUUGCUCAGGAAAUCUGUUUGGAAUUUUAACUUUUGUUUUGUUCAUGCUCCUUUUUAGGUUAUCUGUUCUUUAUAAUGAGAUAGAUCAAGCUAGUGAUUCAUUUGUCAUCUUUACAGCAGAUCAGUUCCAUGUACUGAUACUGCAUCUGAGGAUGACAACAGUUACUACAACCCUUUUCCAUGCUUCCAUUAGUAAUAGAAUAAAUGGCAUUCUAUUGCUUGCUGUGUUAAGGGCUUACAUUUUUACAACAUUUCUUUUGUUCUUGUACACAGAAGCCCCAAAACUCUAAAUCCAAUGCAGGGGCUUCUUGUUCAUUUACCAAGUAAGAGGAAGGUUGCCUCAGCCAGGACAUGAGUUUUCGUCACCAGUCCCACAGUUCCUAUGCACCACGCAGGUUUUUACCGCAGAAGGUUAUCUCAUUAGGAGUAGCAUCAAGGGACAAGCAAGAUCAAGAACAUCAAAAAAUUUAGCAAUAUAUAAACCAAAAAGAAGCCUUUAUCUAGGUUGUAUCACUUUCUGUGGCAGUGGUGGUAAUUGAAUUUUGCCGUGCCUGAUGGCAGGAAGUUCUUGGCUUCACAAAAGCAUGCAACUUUGUAUGUCUCAUGGUGCUUUGUGUUUAUAUGGAGUAACUAAUCAUCUUUGCACUUGUCUACAGAGAACAAGUUAUUAAGUCAAACGGUUCAAAGAGUGGAACAUGCUGCAAGCAUGCUAGUGUGCAAAGGCUCACAAGAUCCUCUCUUGGUCCCAAAGGAUGGAAUAGUGAUGGCACUUCUCUGUGGGAUUGAACUAGAGAUCGUAUCGUUCUUCCCUUAGGAUCGCAUUACUACCAUUCUUGGAAACAUUGGCCUGCGCUCUCCAUUCAAUCUCCCUUGUGUUCCCAGAUAACUCAUAGCCUAGUUCAUCAUGCGUCUUCUCAAAGUCAUCUCCAUUUGACAUCUGCAUUGGCACCAAAGACCAGUGCUCAAGUCAUUGAGGCAUUUCGAAAGGCAAGGGAAACUCUGGCUAGAGUGGUGGGAGAGAUGACCCAAAGGAUAGAACUCUACUAAGGGGGGUGUAUUCAAUCAAAAGAUUGAAUGACUUUCAUUGAUUUUUUUUUUAAUGAUAGAUUUUUGUGGAGUUGAUUGAUUUUUAUUGACUUGUAUAGAAUUAUGUGUAGUUGUAAAAAGAAUUCUAUGGAGUUCUAUAGAUUUUUUUGCAAGACUUUUAUAGAUAUUUAUAAAUUUUUUUAUGGAAAUUUGUGGAUUUAUGAGAAAGAAAAAUUCGUUUCAUUAUUGUUAAUAUGAUAAACAUUGCUCCGCA